AGAAGGUUGAUGCUUGUUCUCCUGUUUUUGCUUGCUGCAGGCAGAUCAAUUGCAUAAAAUUUAUUUGUUAUGUGGAUCUGCUGAUGAAGACAACUGGCCUGGGGUUUCCAAAUUGCCCAAGUAUGAUGACUACAAGCCACAAAGUCCAAUGGAGAGACGUAUUAAGGAGGUUUUUAAAGAGCUGCUUGGAAAAGAGCUGAGGAAGAGGAGCGAACGCUAGCAAAGGGCUGAAUUGCUAGAUUCGGAUUCUGCAUUGACCCACCAUGAUGUGUUGAUGGGAUUCAUCUGCUAGACUUCUACCUAGAGUCCACCUCAGCAUGCCAUGUGGAUUUCAAGUGACUCAUUUGUAAGAAAGAUGGAGCUGCAUACUAAGGUAGCAUAUAGCUGGCUGUAGGUGAUCAGUUUUCUUUUAGUUGUGGAAGAUAGUACAACUUAUUGUUUCUAAGGUAGCAUGUUGUUUCUGCAUGUAUCAUCUUCCAGGCUGAUUUAGUUGUGUCAUUUUCUCAAAAUGCAUUAGGCGGCUAAAGCUUCUUUUCCUGUAUUCUCUGAUGCUUGUUUUUCCAAGAGCUUGCAAGUCUCAGGAAAUGAAGGGCUGAGAUCUUAUGCAUCAAAUCCUUGCUAUUUUUAGCAAUGCCCUCAGCAAAAAAACAAUUUGGAGUUUCAAUCCUCUGUUUUAAGUGAAAUGAGAGUUUUGUUUCGCAGGGAAAACACUCGUGUCCAUCAAGGCGUUGUUUAGCAACGUUGCUAAUGUGCUUCUCGACUGGAAUGCUGAUGACAACGAAGAUCACUGCUCCUGGCAUGGGGUUGCUUACGACAAUCUCUCCUUCGCCGUCGUCUCUCUGUAACUCACAUACCUUCUGUUCUUUUUCUUCUUUCUUCUUUCUUCUUAUCUAAUUUCAACUUCUAAUUCGUUACAAUCAUGAAUCUUCUGUGAAGGAAUCUCUCGAAUUUGAAUCUUGGCGGGGAGAUGUCGCCAGCCAUUGGGGAUUUACAGAGAUUAC